GUUGUCCUGUGACACACUACAACAAUAAUACGGAAGAGGUGGGAAUCAGGUGACACCACUCGCGUACAGCUGAAUUGUAGUUCUGACAGUAAAAACCAGACUGCAUUAUGGAGGACCAGGAGAUGCAACUGAAAGUCAGAAGGGUGACUGACAAGUUCACGGAGAGCAUGUACGUCCUGGCUAACGAGCCGUCGGUGGCUCUCUACAGGCUGCAGGAGCACGUCAGGAGGUCGCUGCCAGAACUAGUCCAGCACAAGACAGAUAUGCAGAGCUGGGAGGAACAAAGUCAAGGAGCCAUCUACACUGUAGAGUACGCAUGCAGUGCCGUGAAGAGCAUGAACAACAGCAGCUUAUAUUUCAAAAACAUUGACAGUCUUCUCCGUCAAGCCAUCAGCAUGAAGGAACAGAUUAAUAAUUCUCAAGGGCGCAGGUAGGAGGCGGCAGUGAAUGUGUUCACUGAGACAUGGUGGUGAAAAAGCGCAACGUUGUUUUGAUCACACUGAAUGCUACAAAGUGGCUUUAAUCUUCUCGUUAGUAGCAGUUUUCCCUCUCAUUUUUUAGUUGAGAGGGAAAACUAACUAGUCAAGCUUUCCUGUCCUAUAUAGAGCCUAUAAGGGACAGGAAAGCUUGACUAGUUAUAACAGCCAUUAUCAUACACACCUUUGCUAAAAUGCAGAUCUCUACAAUAUGCUUUUUAUCAUCUUUAUCACUCAAAUAUCUAGGUAAUAUAACAAAGUUUUUUGCUUUGUCUUAUGCUUAUGUCAGUAUGUACUUCUCACAUUUUUUUUAAAAAUGAGAGAUAGUCACUGAGCAAUUAUUGUUAUCAGUACUUAAUGUAAAUACAUAAAGCCACAAAAAUUAUAGAAUAUUACUUUUUUGAUAAGAUCUCCAACGUCCUUAAGGCUAUAAAAAAUAUACUUGUGGGUCUUUAUAUGUUCACAUUUUUACUCCCUCAGUAUCUAAAGGAUCAUUCUUUUUACGUAUUUGGGGUGACCAUGGCUCUGGUGGUAGAGCUGGUGUCAGACGAUUAGCUACCAAAUGGAAAGGUGGUGGAUCCAUCCACGGCUCCUACAGUGUGUUAGUUAAAAGCACUUAAGUAAAAAUAAAAGCACUGUAUGAAUAUGUGUGUGGUUGGGUGAUGAGACUUGGAGUAGAAAGCACUUUCAGUGUUCAAAUUGAAAGUGCCAGGCCAUUUACAAUUUACGUAACUGUUUUUUGCACUACAUCAUAUCGUUCAUCAUUUGUUUUUAUUUAUUUUAUUUAUUAUUUAUUUUAUUGUAUCCUUCAUCUAAUGUAAUAUAUCAUUUAAUAUAUGGCUUUUCAUUAAAGUUUGUUUCUCCUGCAACUUCAAAUUUGUAAUCCAGACAUUUCUGAAUACUUUGUAAUUACUAGAAGCGUCAUACUUUCUGUUUGAUUUGUCUGUUGUUUUUAUUUUAUUUUCCACCUUUUUUCCCUCCCACACUGACAACUGCAUGCAGCUUAAAUGAUGUGAGUCCCUGUCCCAGCCCCACUGUCACUGCUCCACAUGCCCCAUCCACUUCCUCAUGACAGACAGAGGUGUCCAAGGAAAAGGACAAUGGACUCAGGCAUGCUGAAGGAGGUGGGAGAAAAGCACAACUCUGGGAUGUGAUGCGACUUCCUAAGUUGGUGGCGUUGCCUUUAAAGUCUUGCCCUACCUAUUGACUGUGGCUGAAGUGGGUUCAGAAGGGCAACACCUCCUCAUCACAAUAGAGUGGCUGCCUACACUGACCCCCCCCACCCCCCGUACAAGCCUCUCAGUGGAACAGAGCAUACCAGUGCUGCUAGGUUCAGCAUUAAAAACACUUAAGUCAUGGCUGCUCAAAGAAUGCAUUGUUCUGUUGGACUCACUGGUCGGUUCAGGGAGACAGCAGCACUGCUGUUUUGCCACUGCUGUUGAAAGUCCACUGCACAGCCAAUGUUUUUAAAGUUAGUUCUUUUUUUAUGCGUUUGUUCUGUUUAACAUUUUGCCAGAUGGUACAACAUAUGCUUAUACAAAAAUACAGAUCCUUUUUUUAUUGCUCAGGCUUACCUAUUAAAUAGACAGAAACCCCCAGACAGAAGAGUCCAAUAGCCACAUGUCGUACAGCUCUGCUGUCCAGAAGGAACCAGUCUGCUCUGUUAAAAGAAAUCUGAUCUGUUUAGUGCACAAGGACAUUGCAUUACUUAAAAUAACAACAAUAUAUUUUGUUUUGUUUUUGAUAUGUUCAUUUUCUUUGCUACAUAAUAAAGUUAUAACUUUUUGUCCUGCAAAAUUAGGGCUAUUUGUUUGUUGUUUAUUUUUAUAAAUGCUUGGUCAUUUGUGCCAUGGAUUUAAAAUUUCUAGGAAUGUCUCCAUUGUCAGGGAGGUGCUGUGGUAUGCCGUUAGAUUUGUAAACCGACGUGGGAAAGGGCCAGCUAGAGGCUGUGUGUUGGGUACAUAAUGAGAGGAAAUCCAUUGUUUAGCUGGGAUUCAUAAAGGGUUAGAGAGGUGUGUGUGUGUGGGGGGGGAACCAACAGCACUGCAAUGCGGGCCUCUGCAAUCUUGCACAGGACACCCAUUUUAUCCUUUUGAAACUAUGUUUUCUUUGCACGAAACCUAAUUGGUACAUUUACUAUUCAAGAUAGGACUGUGGUUUGCAGGGUUAACAAUUGAAAAACAUGUGGGCACAAGGAGAAGUGUGACAUGAGCACCUCGACAGUGCACUAUCCUCAAAAUAGGAACCCAUAUAGGAUGUUGUGCAAAGCAGCAGUCUCAUAAUAAGUUACCGCACCUGAAAUGUUAAGCUUUUUGAAGCAGCUGAUCUUAAUUCCAUACUUAGAUUAAGUGUAGUGCUUUGCGUCUUAUUAAAAUAUAUGUCGUCAUGUUAGUUUUACACUUUGCAUGUGUAAAGGAGAAUGAAAGUAAAAGUUGAAAUAAUCUGCAGCCUUAAAACCUUGGACAAAGUUAAACUGAGAUCUCUUACACCCUGCAAAACACAAAGAGGGAAAUGAAGUUUAGUCAUGGUGUGUUGUAUCGUAUUGGAUUUAUUUGGCAUGCAUUUAAGGGUUUUUUUGUUUUUUUUCGUUUUUUACUCUUAUUGCCAUUUAUUUAGUUUUUAUUUAGUAACACAUCACAUCACCCAUAAGUGACUGAGACAGGACUCUCUUCUAGACACUCUAAACCCACCGGCACAAUGUACAUUUCAAAUUCCUUUAAUUUUAAACAUGUUCAUAAUGUGUAUUUUGUAAAAUAGUGAGAUUGUCUAUUCUUAUUUAAUUCACUUAAUGUACAGAAUUCACCUGCUUGCUGCAAACAUGCUACUACUGCACAUUCACCUAAUGUAUAUAUUAUAUAUAAUGUUCUUAUACUUGUAUAACUAUGCAUGUGACAAAUAAAGAACCUUGAACUUUGAACCUUGCUUUGCGAACAGUACUCGACUACUUUAACAAGGCCUAGGGGUGAGGGGGCAAAAAACGCGCAGUGCUGCUUCAGAGGUCGCCUUUCUGGGUAAAUAGUGGUUUUCUUAACUGUCAAAGGUGUGUCACAACUGACCGGAACUGCCUGUUUGAAAAAAACGGAUCGAGAUUAGGAAGAAAAAAAAUGGAAAUGAGCACAGUGGCUUUGAGUGCUACCACAGCUGCAGGUGCUGUCUAACAGGUGGUCGAAAAGAAAUGCCUUAACGCGCAAGAACAAAUACCUUUCUG